ensembl:snoRNA small nucleolar RNA U85
GUCCCAAAAUUCACGCAAGAAGUAAUUUUGAUAGAAAACACAGGUUUAUAAUUAAAAAUUGUAAAUUUUUUAUUGAUUCAUAAAGUACACAGUAUAGGGUUAUGUAUGAAAUAGCAUAUUGGAGGGCAGACCAACAAGAAAUUCUUCCUGCCUUUGAACUAUCUCUCUUUUAUGGAGAUAUUUCUUCCCAGUUGCCAGGAAGAAAUUGUAAGUGAAGUGAGUAGGGAGGGACAAGGCAUGUUCAUGGUAUCAGGGUCAAGGGUCCCAAAGGACUUAGCUUGUGUUGUGGCCACUAAGAAAUGACACACAGAUCUUUGGUAAUCUGAUGGCU